CAAACGACUCUCGGCAACGGAUAUCUCGGCUCUCACAGUCACAGAAAAAU
rnacentral:rRNA from 1 species